AUAUUUAAAAAGAAGAUCUGGAAAAUAUGUAUAGCAUGGUGUAUACAUAUAAUUAGCCCAUAUAGGUACAUGAAGUUCCUCAGGAGACUGGGAGGAUGCACAGCCAGGUAAACCUGUAGAGCAUGGAGACAUUAGGUGGGAGGUGAUGGAAAAGUCCCUCAGUUUUUUUUUUUUUUGAGACAGUCUCGCUCUGUUGCCCAGGCUGGAGUGCAGUGGCAUGAUCUCAGCUCACUGCAACCUUCACUUCCUAGGUUCAAGCGAUUCUCCUACCUCAACCUACCAAGUAGCUGGGAUUACAGGCGCCCGCCACCACGCUCAGCUAAUUUUGGUAGUUUUAGUAGAGAUGGGGUUUCACCAUGUUGGCCAGGCUGGUCUUGAACUCCUGACCUCAAGUGAUCCUCCCCGCCUUGGCCUCCCGAAGUGCUGGGAUUACAGGUGUGAACCACUGUGCCCAGACCUUCAUUUUGUUUGUAUACAUCUGUAUUCAUUGAAUCUUCUACAAGGUUUAUUUAUUCAUGUAUGCCUAUUGUUCCGGUUAUCUAUUGUUGCAUGAAAAACACCCCAAAACUUAAUAGUGUAAAACAGCAGCCCCUUUAUUAUGCUCACAACUUGGUGGUCAGAUUUCAAGCAAGACCCAGAGGCACAACUCAUCUCGUUCCACAGUGGCUGGAGCUUCAGCUGAGGUGGCUCAAAUGGCUGGAGAACACUUCCCUGCAGCAGAACCUACAACCAUCUUCCUCCCCUUUCUGGAAAAGGUUUGUUUCUGAGGCUGGAGUCAGAGUCUUCAAACCAACAGCCAGAGAUAACAUUGCUAAUUAUGCCCCUUUCCUUGGUCUUUAUUUGAAAUGAAACGGUUCUGUUACCGGUAGAGGGUCUUGAUGCAAAUUGUCCAGGUUCUUGGCAUUUUGAACAAAGAACUGGACAAAACGCACAGCAAAGCAAGGUAAGAAUGAAGCAGCAAAAGCAGAGAUUUAUUGAAAGUACAUGCCACAGUGUGGGAGCCGGCCAAGCAGCAGCUUAAACACCCCCUAGAGGUUUCCCAUUGGCCACUUGGUGUUCACCCCAUGUAAAUGAACCAACCUCAGUCAGUCUGAUUGGUUGCAACCAAUCAGAGGCUGAAGUGAAGUUACAAAGUUACACUCCUGUGCAAACGUCUGAUUGCAAAAAGCAGCCAGUCAGAGGUACCUUCAAUUUCCCAUCUGCCCCUCAGAAAAGGUGGGCAUUGGCAAAGGGAGUAGCCUCUGGUCCUUUUGUUACUUAUGCGUGGAAAGUUGGGGUUUUUCUUUCGAUUUAGUUCUAGGAAGUCAAGGUGAACUGGCCUUCAGUUCCCUGCCUCCAGACCCUAUUCUGCCUCAGUUCAAAUACACAAAACCUAACAAAUACCUAUAUGACCACCUUCCACAACUAAUCAAUGGCAGUGUCUAUUAGUUUGACUUUGUUUCUAUUUUACAAGAAGCAAAAGCACCUCUGGACUCUCCACUAGAGAGCUAUGUGCAGCCACUCCAGCAUGGUGCUCUCAGGGUAACCAGACUUCUUACACUAGCUCCAAGUGCAAGUUCUCCUAGCAAACAAGAUAGAGGUUGCAAGGCCUUUUAUGACCUCACCCUGGAGGUCACACCACAUCUGUAUUUCAUUGUAUUUCAUUGGUAGCAGUCACAAGCUGCCCAGAUACAAGGCAGAGGGACAGAUGCCCCACUUCUUGAUGGGAUGAGUGGCAAAAAAAAAUCUGUGACCAUGUUUAAAACCCAGAAGAUUUGGCUGUUAGAGAUUUGUGAAGUUUUUAAAAGUUAAGAAUUAUUAAAACAAAAAUAAAACCCAGGAGACAAGGUAGUGGAAGUGUGUCCCUCCCAUUCACUGACCAAGGUGAGGGGACUCUAGUCCUUUGCUGCUGACCUUCAGCCUCCCUUCCUCUUAAAAAGAGGUCCUAGUUGGGGAGCGAUGGCUGAAGAGUUACCAUAAAAUACCAAGUAGGAGCGAGGUGCGGUGGCUCACGUCUUUAAUCCCAGCAGUUUGGGAGGACAAGGUGGGAGGAUCGCAUGAGCCCAGGAGUUCAAGACAAACCUGGGCAACAUAGCAAGGCUCUGUCUCUACAAAAAAGGAAAAGAGUACAAAGUAGGGCCAUUUAGUAUGGUUUCAUCUUUAUUAAAAGUCUUAAGUUUUAGAUUUUUGAAGUUAUCACCAAUAAAAUAUCCAGUUGUG
rnacentral:lncRNA from 1 species